rnacentral:rRNA from 1 species
GACGAACGCUGGCGGCGUGCUUAACACAUGCAAGUCGAACGAAGAGCGAUGGAAGCUUGCUUCUAUCAAUCUUAGUGGCGAACGGGUGAGUAACGCGUAAUCAACCUGCCCUUCAGAGGGGGACAACAGUUGGAAACGACUGCUAAUACCGCAUACGAUCUAAUCUCGGCAUCGAGGAUAGAUGAAAGGUGGCCUCUACAUGUAAGCUAUCACUGAAGGAGGGGAUUGCGUCUGAUUAGCUAGUUGGAGGGGUAACGGCCCACCAAGGCGAUGAUCAGUAGCCGGUCUGAGAGGAUGAACGGCCACAUUGGGACUGAGACACGGCCCAGACUCCUACGGGAGGCAGCAGUGGGGAAUCUUCCGCAAUAGACGAAAGUCUGACGGAGCAACGCCGCGUGAGUGAUGACGGCCUUCGGGUUGUAAAGCUCUGUUAAUCGGGACGAAAGGCCUUCUUGCGAAUAGUGAGAAGGAUUGACGGUACCGGAAUAGAAAGCCACGGCUAACUGCGUG